AUUGCACGCUGGCGGCAGGCCUAACACAUGCAAGUCGAGCGGAGCGGCGGACGGGUGAGUAAUGCCUGGGAAUCUGCCUGGUAGUGGGGGAUAACGUCCGGAAACGGGCGCUAAUACCGCAUACUAUUAGAUGAGCCUAGGUCGGAUUAGCUAGUUGGUGGGGUAAAGGCCUACCAAGGCGACGAUCCGUAACUGGUCUGAGAGGAUGAGCAGUCACACUGGAGCUGAGACACGGUCCAGACUCCUACGUGAGGAAGCAGUGGGUAAUAUUGCACAAUGGGCGAAAGCCUGAUCCAGCCAUGCCGCGUGUAUGAAGAGGUUCUUCGGUUUGUAAAACACUUUAAGUUGGGAGACGUUACCAUCAGAAUAAGCACCGGCUAAGUUCGUGCCAGCCGCCGCGGUAAUUC
rnacentral:rRNA from 1 species